AUACUUGGAAGUUGCCUCUCUUGGAGUGUUCAGUGAGCCUUCAUCCUCUGAAAGUGGGAUGCUCUGGGAUAUUCACACAGUUGUUGUUUACCAACCAAGAAUCUGUGUUUUCAUUUGGAACAAACUAGGAAGCCUCUGCUGCAGUGUUUUCAUGCCGAAGUGGCACUUUUCCAGAUUUCACUGUCAUGCAGUGUGUAGUAAUGCCUAGGAAAAAAAGAAGCAUGAAGAAAUUAUCCAGCAAAACAGAAGAAACCCAUUUACUCCCCUCAGUUUUGACUGAAGGUGAAGGGCAGCAGCAGCAAGGCACUAAAAGCUGAUUCAAGAUACUGUUGCAGAGGGUAACCCCCAGAUUUAUUUUCCUGUUGAGGUAACGUGCCUCCUUCCAACAUAUUUCUAUAAUCUUAACCUGGUUUGUGUGGACAGCAAACUAACUGGAGUGGAAGUUUUUCUGAACUGGACAGUCUCGAGAAAACCUAAAGGGGAGAAGAGCAUUCCUUUGCAAAUGAGCUGCAAUUGGUUUGAAGGGUUGCUACGGAUUCGACAAAGAAGGCAGAAAUUCCCAUUUGUUCUUCAAAUGUUGACUUUAGGGAAUCACCCCCAAGUGCCAGUCUUGGCAGAGGGCAGUGGGUCAGCAGAUGCCUGCUGUCAUAUUUGGGCUGAUCUCAUUGGGGAGAGCUUCCAUUUCCUGGGAGGUGAAGAAGGAAAUCUGGCAUUCUUCCAUAAAGAGACAUUUAGGAACUAACUAAGAAACAUCACGUCUUUAUUUUUUCUCUACUGAUUUAUGGAAUUAGACUGCAGCUUCCCACCUAAGUGAAACAAAUGAUUUCUAGACAGCAGAGUAACAAACAGGCAAAUAGUAUCCCUUUUUGCCUACUGUGUCCUUCCUCCACUCUUUCCUUGACUAAAUGACGGUCUCGUGGUGUUGUCUUAUAAAGCAUAAAGCUUAUUUAUCUUGUAAUCUUAUGUUAUCUUAUACUACCGAAAGGGUGAUUGGCAAUUCCUUUUAAGUGCUUGGUUAUUUGGAAUUAAAUGCAGGCAGACU
ensembl:lncRNA